AAAUUGAAGAGUUUGAUCAUGGCUCAGAUUGAACGCUGGCGGCAGGCCUAACACAUGCAAGUCGAACGGUAACAGGAAGCAGCUUGCUGCUUUGCUGACGAGUGGCGGACGGGUGAGUAAUGUCUGGGAAACUGCCUGAUGGAGGGGGAUAACUACUGGAAACGGUGGCUAAUACCGCAUAACGUCGCAAGACCAAAGAGGGGGACCUUCGGGCCUCUUGCCAUCAGAUGUGCCCAGAUGGGAUUAGCUUGUUGGUGAGGUAACGGCUCACCAAGGCGACGAUCCCUAGCUGGUCUGAGAGGAUGACCAGCCACACUGGAACUGAGACACGGUCCAGACUCCUACGGGAGGCAGCAGUGGGGAAUAUUGCACAAUGGGCGCAAGCCUGAUGCAGCCAUGCCGCGUGUAUGAAGAAGGCCUUC
rnacentral:rRNA from 5 species